GCCGUGGUAGCUCAGUCGGUAGAGCAUCGCACGCGUAAUGCGAAGACGUGGGAUCGUUGCCCACCUGCGGCA
rnacentral:tRNA from 1 species